UCAGAGGUAAUUAUUUCGGACAUGGAAAGUCCCGGAGGAAGUCUGUCCCUGGUGACGGGGCUGCGAGGGCCGUCAGCGGCUGCAGGGAGCGAGUAGAGGCCCCCGCCUCCCACCAGGAGCGGGGAAAGAAACAUUCUCUUCCCCAGCUCUAGGAGAACACUUUCUCAGGCUGUGACAGCACAACGGAGUGUGAGAAAACUCCGGAGCACAAAGGAGGGAGACGGGCGGGACGGAAGCUUCCUUCUGAUUGUCUCUAGCCUCCUCUAAGGUGCCGUCCUCUCCACCUCUUUCAAAUAGUCUCUUCUUUGCACUACGGAAUUUAUUUACCUUUUUUUGUCCUAGGGAAAGUACUUUUCUACACGUUCGACAUCCAAGACGACAUGUGUGCAGCCGUCUGACACUGAAUUACCGCAAAAGCAGAGACACGGCACCAGGCUCGAAACAGGAUGUUUUGAUUAAAUUAAACCAGAG
rnacentral:lncRNA from 1 species